GCUUGGUCCCUUGAGCACACAUGACAAU
rnacentral:piRNA from 1 species